AGACUACACCUCACAGUGUUGUGCGCACAGCAGAUGCUCAAUAAAGAUUAGUUAAUUGAAUCACUUCUGAUAAUGUCAUGUUUGCAUUAUUUUUUGAGAUACAAAACAGCCCAUUCUGUCGUGAUUUUCUUAAGUGAGAAGUCAAACAUUUUGAGAAAAUGAAAUUUUUAUUACACAUUUAAAAAUUAUUAUUAUUAGCAAACAUUUCUUAAAUGCCAGACACUGCUAUGCAUUUUACAUAAAUUAUCUCAUUUGGCCCUGGUGUGGUAGAUAGUCUUCAAAGAUGGCUGCCACCAAGUCCCCUCUUCCCUGUGUGAACAUGCCACUCCUCCUACCAAGAGGUGGGGUCCAUUUCCCCUCCUCCGGCACCUGGUCUGGCCAUGUGACUUGCUUUGACCAAUAGACUGAGGUGGAAAUGACACUGUGUCAGUCCUGGGUCUAGCUCUUCAGAGACCCAGUAGCUUCCACUUUCGCUCUGAGGAAGCCACGAGGCACACGGUAAGCAGCUCGGGCUGGAUUGCUGAGUAAUGAGAGAGCACGUGGAGAGAGAGGCCCCCCCCCCCCCCCCCCCCGGGAGGAGCUCGGAGGCAGCUGACCUCUGAGUGACGCCUUCUUGCACCUCCCAGCUGAGCCAAAUGGCAAGCUAAAGGCAGCUGUGAGAGUGGCCCCAGCUGAUGCCAUAUGAGGCAGAAGAACCACCCUUCCUGAAUUGCUGACCUGCAGAAUUAUAAGAAAUAAAACUGCUGUUCUAAGUCACUGUUUUAGGGUGGUUGCUGCAAUGAUUAAUGGCAACACCUGAUACCAACCUUAAACUCCUUAAGAAGAUGAAGGGAGGCAUCACAGUUGUCAUUUCUACCACUGCUGGUGAUAUGCUCCAAGGAGUCUGGGAUGCAAGACGAUUGGAUUUACAUGUGCCGUGUGACAUGAAGCUGGGUUUUUCAGAGAUGGCUGUAUCAAAUCAGUGUCUCCCGCUCCACGUGCUCUUCUGCAGUGUGAACUUGCCAUUCCCCCAGCAGUAGUGGAGUCUACUUCUCCACUCCUUCAGCCGAGAAGGACUCCAGCCUGCUUUGAUCACUAUCCUGUGGUAGAAAUGAUCCACUGCCCGUUCUUGGCGUAGCCCUGGAUUGGCCUGGCUUCUUCCACUUCUUGCCUCUUGGAAGCCAGCCGCCAUGUAAGAAAUGCAGCUACCCUGAGACCACCAGGCUGUAAGAAGGUCAAGCUACAUGCGCAGACCCUGAAAGAUGAGACACGACAUGGGGAGAGAGAGCCCAAGGAGCAUGGAGCAGGCCAGAUGUGAGUGAAAAGCCCUACUGGAAGUGAGUCGUCCAGCUGUCCCAGACGCAUCACGUAAAACAGGUAAACCACUCAGCCAGGCCCUCCGAAAUUCCUGCAAGAUCAUGAGUGAAAUAAAUGGUUGUUAUAAGCCAUUAUGUGUUGGGGCAUUUUUUUCCCUAGCUCUAGAAAACCAGAACACUCAAUAAUAAAUAUUUGAAAAUGAGCAGCAAU
rnacentral:lncRNA from 1 species